UACGUAGGUGGCAAGCGUUAUCCGGAUUUAUUGGGCGUAAAGGGAACGCAGGCGGUCUUUUAAGUCUGAUGUGAAAGCCUUCGGCUUAACCGGAGUAGUGCAUUGGAAACUGGGAGACUUGAGUGCAGAAGGGGGGAGUGGAACUCCAUGUGUAGCGGUGAAAUGCGUAGAUAUAUGGAAGAACACCAGUGGCGAAAGCGGCUCUCUGGUCUGUAACUGACGCUGAGGUUCGAAAGCGUGGGUAGCAAACAGG
rnacentral:rRNA from 1 species